rnacentral:sRNA from 1 species
AAGUCGUAACAAGGUUUCCGUAGGUGAACCUGCGGAAGGAUCAUUCAUAAUCAAGUGUUUUUAUGGCACUUUCAAAAAUCCAUAUCCACCUUGUGUGCAAUGUCAUCUCACUGGAGGUCAACGGCUGUAAAAAUCCGUUGGUCACCUUUGGGAUUUAUAUCUACUCAGGACUUUAGUGAUUUUGUCUGAAACAUAUUAUGAAUACUUAAUUCAAAAUACAACUUUCAACAACGGAUCUCUUGGCUCUCGCAUCGAUGAAGAACGCAGCGAAAUGCGAUACGUAAUGUGAAUUGCAGAAUUCAGUGAAUCAUCGAAUCUUUGAACGCAUAUUGCGCUCUCUGGUAUUCCGGAGAGCAUGCUUGUUUGAGUAUCAGUAAACACCUCAACUCCCCUUUCUUUUUUUUAAAUGGGAGCUGGACUUGAGUGAUCCCAACGCUUUUCCUCACCGAAAAGUGGCGGGUUACUUGAAAUGCAGGUGCAGCUGGACUUUUCUCUGAGCUAAAAGCAUAUCUAUUUAGUCUGCCUAAAAAACAGAUUAUUACCUUUGCUGCAGCUAACAUAAAGGAGAUUGGUUCUUGUGCUGACUGAUGCAGGAUUCACAGAGACAGCUUCGGCUGGCUUUGUAAACUCGAUCUCAAAUCAAGUAAGACUACCCGCUGAACUUAAGCAUAUCAAUAAGCGGAGGAAAAGAAACUAACAAGGAUUCCCCUAGUAACGGCGAGUGAAGCGGGAUGAGCUCAAAUUUAAAAUCUGGCUGGUUUACUAGUCCGAAUUGUAGUUUAAAGAAGCGUUUUCGGUGGCAGCCUGGGUAUAAAUCCUUUGGAACAGGGUAUCAUAGAGGGUGAGAAUCCCGUCUUUGACUCAGUGCAUGCUACUAUGUGAUACGUUUUCAAA